rnacentral:rRNA from 1 species
UACGUAGGGGGCUAGCGUUGUCCGGAAUCAUUGGGCGUAAAGAGCGUGUAGGCGGUCCGGUGAGUCCGCUGUGAAAGUCGGGGGCUCAACCCUCGGAUGCCGAUCGAUACUGUCGGGCUAGAGUCCGGAAGAGGCGAGUGGAAUUCCUGGUGUAGCGGUGAAAUGCGCAGAUAUCAGGAGGAACACCAAUGGCGAAGGCGACUUUCUGGCCUGUUCUUGACGCUAGGACGGCGAAGCGGGGAAGCA